UUAUUUUUAGCUUCUGAUUUUUUGGAUGAAGGUUGACCACUGCCCCAUGGUUAACCUGAACUUUUAUUGGAUUUUUAUUUCACAUUUUUUAUUCAUUCUUGAUUUAUUUUUUAACCUAGUUUGGUUGGUUGACUUUUGGUUUGACCUCUAUUUUAUUUCAAUUAAUUCAUGAACCAAUUCUCAUUAUUUUUAAAAUCUUUUUGGGGGAUGAUGAUGUCC
rnacentral:lncRNA from 1 species